GAUGAACGCUGGCGGCGUGCCUAAUACAUGCAAGUCGAGCGAACGGACGAGAAGCUUGCUUCUCUGAUGUUAGCGGCGGACGGGUGAGUAUCACGUGGAUAACCUACCUAUAAGACUGGGAUAACUUCGGGAAACCGUAGCUAAUACCGGAUAAUAUUUUGAACCGCAUGGUUCAAAAGUGAAAGGCGGUCUUGCUGUCACUUAUAGAUGGAUCCGCGCUGCAUUAGCUAGUUGGUAAGGUAACGGCUUACCAAGGCAACGAUGCAUAGCCGACCUGAGAGGGUGAUCGGCCACACUGGAACUGAGACACGGUCCAGACUCCUACGGGAGGCAGCAGUAGGGAAUCUUCCGCAAUGGGCGAAAGCCUGACGGAGCAACGCCGCGUGAGUGAUGAAGGUCUUCGGAUCGUAAAACUCUGUUAUUAGGGAAGAACAUAUGUGUAAGUAACUGUGCACAUCUUGACGGUACCUAAUCAGAAAGCCACGGCUAACUACGUG
rnacentral:rRNA from 1 species